AUGGAGAAGAUGCUGGGAUACACAUUAAUAGUCUUGUGCCUUCAGUUUGGCUGGUCAAGUGGAGAAGACCAAGUGGUACAGAGUCCUCAGGCACUGAUACUCCAGGAGGGAGACAACUCCAGCCUCAACUGCAGUUACUCAGUCAGCAGUUUUAGUAGCUUACAGUGGUAUAAGGAAGAUUCUGGGAAAGGUCCUGAAUUCCUCUUCCUCCUGUAUUCAGUUGGGGAUGAAAAGCCGAAUGAGAGGUUUAGAAUCAUGCUAUCAAAAAAGGGAAAUUCCCUGCACAUUACAGACUCUAACCCUGAAGACCCAUCCACUUACCUCUGUGCUGUGGUCACGGUGAUCCCCAAGCACCUGCAGCCUAUAUCAGAAUUGACAACUGGGGUGCUGGAAUAA